GCAUCGUUAGCCCAGUGGUAGGGUAUCUGCUUCCCAUCUCCUGGAGAUAGCAGGGGGUCGCGGGUUCGAACCCCGCACGUUGCA